UCCCCUGUGAUGCUUUCAGUUUGAAGUGGAUCUGUACCAAAAUGAAUCCGCCUGCCAGACUCCCCUGGACCGGCAGUACCACGAAGAGAUCCUGAAGCUGGAGAAGGCCGGAGGUCGGAAGAACCACCGCAUCUUCACCUACACUGAUCACGACCGAUUCACCAACCUAGAGGAGCACUGCCAGAAGGUAACUGACUCAGACUGUGAGAUGCCAUCAUAUCUGGCAGAGAGGAUGGCCAAUGUGAGGAGGAGAAGACAGGACCGUAAGCUACUAGAAGCGAGUUCUCUCAAGUCAAAAAUCAUCACCUGGGAGCCCUCAGAAGAAUUUAUGAAGAACAAUCAUGUGAUUAACACUCCUGUUCAGACUAUGUACAUCAUGGGGGACUUGGGACCUUAUGGGAAGCUUGGUCAGAGGGAAUAUGAGCAUGUUCUUUGUACAAUCAAGGUGGAUGGCAAUGGGGUGAUCACAGUGAAGCCUGACUUUACUGGCACCAGAGGACCCUACUGGAUUGAGCUGGGCGGACAGAAGCGAGAGUUGUGGAAAUAUACCAUUGAGAAUGCAUCUGUGCAAGUGCAGCAGGAGGAGGAGGAGCGUGAGCAGCGUGUGUUCAGAGAUCUGUACAGUCGGCACAGAGAGUACCUCAGCAGCCUGGUAGGCUCAGAAUUUGAGAUGACACUUCCUGGAACACUGCGGCUUUUUGUGAAUGGAGAAGUAGUUUCAGCUCAAGGCUAUGAGUAUGACAACCUUUAUGUUCAUUUCUUUCUGGAGCUGCCUAAACACUGGUCAAGCCCCGCAUUUCAGCAGCUGUCAGGAGUGACUCAGACCUGUGCCACCAAGACAGUGGGCUGGGAUAACGUGGCAUACUUCUGCUACCCCUUCACUUUGGAGAUGUUUUUUACUCAAGAGGACGAAUCAGAAGACUGUCUUCCUCAGUGGCCUGUUCUCUACUUUGAGGUUCUGUCCCUGGAUUUCUGGCAGAGGUAUCGUGUUGAAGGAUAUGGUUCUUUGGUGCUGCCAGCAUCUCCAGGUCUCCACAUGCUCACCAUCCCUACCUGGCGCCCUGUAGAGCUGGGUACAGUUGCUGAGAUGAGGAGAUUUUUCAUUGGUGGGUCUCCUGAGCUGGAAGAUAUGACCUACGCCAGGAUACCAACAACCUUCAAGGGAAAGCAUCUGAGCCGCUUUGGUUUUCGCACAGAGACAACAGGGAAUGUCACGUUCCGGCUUUACUGCCUGCAGCAGUCCAAAGCCUUUCUGGAAACCAGUGCCUUGAGGCAUCGCAUGCAGAGUGUUCUGGACCGGCUUGGAGGCUUCAGCCAGCAGAGCUCUGUCUACAAUGUUUUGGAGGCUUUCCAGCGGGCUCGGCGCCGGAUGCAGGAGGCCCGUGAGAGCCUUCCCCAGGACCUCAUCAGCACCUCUGCCUCCAGCAUGCAGCAGCCACCAGAACCCAGACUGACAGACUGACAGCCUCUGCUGCAUGACCUGGGGGCAGCCCACACCUCUCUGACAGACGCUCCCAGUGCCCGUGCCCUGAAGCACUUUGAAGCCCUUUGCAGUUCUGUCUGUAGCACAUCCGUUCUGAGAAUCGUGUUUCCACAGGAGUGAGGCUACCUGCAGACCAACAGUGAUAGGAAGAAAAAUCUCAGGCUGAGAUCACGCAGGGCUGAGUGCAUCUGAAAAGCCAGAAUUUACAGGCAGGACACAAAUAGGAACUGGUUUCCUCCUCUUGUUCCCCAUGUUCCUCCCUAACAGGGGAUGGCUGUCGAGGAGGAGGUGCAGCACAUAGAUGGGCUUGGGAUCAAGGGGUGAACUUGACCAUGGAUGCUGUCACUUACAAAAGAGGAUUUUGCUUUUGCUUGCCUACCUCACCUGCUAUCCCUCCUUUUCAGCAGAAGAGCUGCCAGCCUGGAUGAGGAAGCAUGGCCUGUUAGCACAGCAGUGUCCUUGGCCCAGCACUGGGUGAUGUCUCGUGAAUGAGUCAGCUCUCCAGUCUGGGUGAUGUGAUGUGGCAGAUAAGGCAUGAUGGGUAUGAAUGCUGAGCUCUGGAAUAGCAGAACUGAGGCUUCUGUGGUCCCUGGGGAUAUGGUCACAAUUCACAGGGACUGACCCACACUGUGCACAGGAUGAGAAGUGUUCAUGGCAUACAGAGCUGCUCAGUCUGCUCAGCCUUCUACCUGUGUUUCAUGGUUCGUGUUGUAGCCCUGUAUGUUUAUUGCCAGUUCACAAACAGUAAUUAAUUUAUGUUGGAGUA